GUUGAUCACUUUGUUAAUUCAGUGUGACAGAAGGCUUCCUGUGGUCUCUGUCUGUCGAGACCCUGUAAUUCAUUUUUGUCCCCUAUAAGGGACUCAAGAUCUGAAUUCAGAGGAAGUAAUAGCUUCUGGCCUGAAACUAUGUUCUAAUAAAGACUACAUACUGGGCUUUUUAGUCAUAUCCCAUUUGUUUGAUUAAACCUUGACAGUCAUUGGUCCUGUCUUCUCAAAUACCCACAUGUCCAACUAAAGUCCUGGGCCGCUGGGUCUCAGAGACUUAAAGAAAGGUAUUCCUUUACUUCAUAAACAUGAUUUAGUAAAUUUAGUUUAUUCGGUAUGUAAAUCACUAAUACAUUAAGACUUUUUGGUAUAUUUAUUAACAUAUAGUUAUAGAGACUAAUAUUUAAGAUUAUGUUAGAGCAAUUAAAGCACAGAUGCUUUUAGUUUAAGGAAAAUUGACUUAUCCAGGAUGUAUAUGAGUUUGUUCCUUCAUCGGAACAGAUUUAGGUAAAUAGCAUUACAUCUCUUGCUUUCCAGUUUUUACAAUCAUGCAUUUGUUCACUUCAAAAAAUACAUAUAAUUUAACUGGAUUUUUUUUUUUUUUAGGUUGGUUUAAUGUAAUUUAAGUUGAAAUGACUUGUAAAACCAAGUUGAUUAUACUUGUAAAAUGUAAAGCAUCAACUGAAGUUUUUAAGUUGAAAUAGGUGGAAUUUUUGUUUUACAGUGUAUCAGCUGUUUGAACUCAUUCUGGCGGCACCCAUUCACUACAGAGAUCCAUUGGUGAACAAGUGAUGUAAUGCCAUAUUUCUCCAAAUUUGUUCCGAUGAAGAAACAAACUCAUCUGGUGAGGGUUUCAGCUGCCAAAGCGCUUCAGCCUGCUUCUCUCCCUCUGUUUAUAGACCAGCAUGAAUAAAUGAUGAAAUGAUAAUACACAGCAGUAGAACCUUUUUUUUUCUCUCCCAGAGACGACUCUGCGGGAGACCGGGGACUUGCCUGUAUUAAAAUGCAUUAACAGUAAAUCAGGUCAGUCCCCCACUGCCUGCUAUAGGUUUUUUCCCACUUUCAAAGUGUGGGGUUGCAGGCAACAUGCUUGCUAGUAUACAUGGCU
ensembl:lncRNA